UACCAGCACCCCGAGUGGUCGGGACGUUUAUUGGGCCUAAAGCAUCCGUAGCCGGUUCUACAAGUCUUCCGUUAAAUCCACCUGCUUAACAGAUGGGCUGCGGAAGAUACUAUAGAGCUAGGAGGCGGGAGAGGCAAAGCGGUACUUAGUGGGUAGGGGUAAAAUCCGUUGAUCCAUUGAAGACCACCAGUGGCGAAGGCGGCUUGCCAGAACGCACUC
rnacentral:rRNA from 1 species